AUAAUAAUAAUAAUAAUAAUAAAAUAAAGGGAGGAGGGUGGUCUACGGGUAUGAACCCGAAUCCAAACCCGAAGCCGGGGUGCUAGACACCUUUGCAAGGACAGCCCAGGGAGAAUGUUAAAAAUUUAAGUUUUAUAUAUAUUGUGAUGAAUUUUAAAAGAAAAAUAUGAUUUUUGGAUAUUAGGUUCUGCGAGGAAUUUGUGAGAUUAAUUGGAAUUAUUGUGAAUCGCUUUCGAAGUAAGUAAUGAACUGCCUUCUCUAGACUCUUCAUUCAUAUAAUAUUAUUUUUGCAUUGAAUAAAUUGUUAAUGAAUUUAUAUGUGAUUUAUGAAUUUUACGAGAUGAUGCUUUGAAUGAAAAAUAGAUAGGUGAAUUGAAAUUAAUAUUUUUCGGAUAUACUUACUGUUCUUGCAUCGUAUAUGCAUAUUUAGAUCGGAUUGUGAUAUAUCUAUUAUGCUACAAAAGAAUUUUGAUGUGCAUCAGAUUUAGAACUCUCAACUAGACUAUGUUCUGGACCCUGCCAAUUGGGGGUUAUGCAUUGGCAAUUCUGACCGCACCACGGGGUAUAAGUGUGGUAUUCUGGCCCACUCCGCAGGGUAUAAGUGCGGUAUUCUGGCCUACUCUGCAGGGUAUAAAUGUGGUUCUGUUUUUGGCCUAGCCACAGGGUAUAAGUGUGGUCGUAGCUAAAGGCUGUUGAGAUGAAUGUAAUUUGUUUCGAAUCAGAUUUACGAUUAUGUAUAUGGAUAUUUGAAAGAUACGGAUUUCAAUGAAUUUGUAUUUGAAAAUGAAUUGAUUAUGUUAUUAUGCUAACUCAUCGUAAUUUGUAUUCAUAUUUUAUGUUAUUAUAUGAAUUGACUAGUUAAGGUGUUUAUUACUUACUGGGCUGUCUAGCUCAUUAUACGAUUUCUUACUGUUUUUACAGAUCCGAAGAAUUAGCUUGAUCUGGGGUUUUACAAUAUGGGAGAGCGAAUAAAAGAAUUAUGGCACAAGUUAUCUUAGAUUAGGUUUUAUUUAAAUUAAUGUUCUAUCUUUAUUGUUCCGCUGCGUAUUUAGAACUGUGAGACUUUAUAAUUUGUGUCAGUCAAUGGAAUAAGAUUGCAUUUAUUUUAGUUGAAUUAUUUUAGUUACAUUUUUGAGAUUUGGUUAAGAUGCCUUGCAUGCUCGUGGGGAGAAUUUUCCUACGGGUGUGCGGCGGUUGGCGCGGACCCCUGGCUCGCGAUCUCGGGCCGGGGGCGUGACAGAUACCAUGCUAUUGACUUAAUUAUUCAACAAUCCAAACCAAGGUUCGCUAUCUCGGUACUAGAUACUGUACUGGUAUCAUGUUGGUACAGUGUCAGUACACCCAAUACGGGGUUUGGUUCAGCGUACCAAGUCUCAGUUCAGAAUGGUACCGUACAUAUGCCUGGUAUGCGGUGGUACACACCAGUACGGCAAACCUUAGUCCAAAUUUGUAGAAAGAAGUUAACUGAUAUUUAAGAAACUCUAAGAGUCAAUCAAGGCAGCCAUGGCUCACCAUUUGUUUCUUGGAUUUUUCUUUUGUGUUUUAAUUGAUGGCAGCAAAUUAUUUUAAUCAAGGGUGAAAUUUUCAUGUUGUUAGGAUUUAUUUUCUGUAUAAAAGUUGCAAUUCCUGUUUUAAAAAGUGGUUAGUUUUGAGUUAAUUUUGAUUGAUCAGAAGAAGAGAAGCUAAGGUUCUGGUACCUCCUCUAAUCUCCUCCUUGUCUCUCUUCCUGCAUCCUCUUCUUUCCUCUAAUUAUUGUCUCCUUAUGAUUUUAAUUUUCUUAAUAACAUUCUUUAUUCUCUGCUGUAUAUUACUUCAGUUCAUAACUAAGCUUAAAUCCAUUUAACCUUGUCUUCACCCUGUAUAUUACUAACCUUAUGAUUUUAAUGUUCUCAACCUGUUUUGUGCAAGUUUUAGUGUCACAAGCCUUAACAUCUGUCAUUAAUCCUAGUAAACCCAUUUAACCUUGUCUUCACCCUUUACUUUCACUAGAAUCUUGAAAAAUCUGUCCAUAAUAGCAGAAACCUGUGUAUAUACCACAGAUUUCAAACAAUAAUUCCAUUAGAAAAACCUUUAUAAAUAUUUUCAAUACUUAUUGAACCCCAGAAGGCCAGAACCUUUUCCUAUCAUCAGUUAGUAAUGAACACCUGUUACCUCAUCCAUUUUUCCAUAGUCAUGUGAUUUCUUCUGAACAGUCCAGAAUUUUAAUUCUGUGCAGCAAAUCCUAAAAUCCUUCUUUAAAACCUUGAAUCCUUCAUCUUAAGUUUCACCGCCACAGAUAUGCAUCUUAACCCUUAAAGUCCCACAACUUCCCUUUAACAUAGCUUUUUUGCAAGGUAUGCUGAACUCACCGGAACCGGUCGGUUUAGCAUGUACCGGACCGGUGCCAACAGGCACCAGUCUGGUAUAGCCAUUAAAAUCGGUUCCAACCCCAUCUGGGUCGCAAUUGAUCGGUUCCAAGUCCGUACCGGUGCGAACCGAGCCCCGGCUCGGUUCGCACCGGUACGGGUUAAAAAUUGAGUUGCCACGUGCUAUGCCCUUUUUGACCAUAGCGCGCGGCCUUUUUUCUCCGCGGCCGACAGCGCGUAGCCACAGUGGCCACACGCUGUCUUCCUUUCGGCCACAACGCCAAGUGCUGUGGCUGAAAGUGGUACAGGGCCACGUGUUUUUCGACAAUGCAUAGCUGUCCAUUCAAUUUGAGGUUGGCCUCUCCCCGCUCGGCUAUAGGAGCACAUUUCAGAGGCAAGGCAAGGGAAGGGAAGGAAAGGGAUUAGCCAAAAAAUUGAGAAAGAAAAGAAAAGGGUAGGGAUUAGUCUAAAAAAUAUUGAGGAAGGGAAGGGUAGGGAUUAGCCCAAAAAAGAUGAAGGAAGGAAAGGGAAAGGAAGGUAUCCAGCAGAUGAAGGGAAUGCAGAUCGAGCAGGGAUCCUACAGAGGCUGCGUGAAAAAAAUUGAGGAGGCGAGAGAGCGUCAUUUCCCUUCCAAAAAAAUCCAACAAAGGCUAAUUAAGGUGUGGUUUCUUUCCCUUAUAUUUUUUUUAAUAUUUCUUUUAAUGUGCUUACAAAAAUAUGUCAAAAAUUGCAAAAAAAAUAGAAAAUGAUGCUCAAUGUUUUCAUUUCAUAUUGAAUUUUUUAUAUGUUGUAAAUCUAAGGUCUGCUGAACCGAUCUAUACCGGUUGGUUCAGCCCGUACCGGACUGGUACCGACAGGCACUGGUCCGGUACCAAGGUAGAAAUUGGUUCCGACCCAAUCUGGGUCAGAACCGAUCGGUUUGAGGUCGGUUCAGCCGGGGUCAAAAAAAAUAUCAAAAAGUGAGAGAACUCCCAAAAAAAAACGACAGGGUCGAAACCAGACCGAACCAGCUCCAUCGGUAUGGUACCGGUACCGUACCGGUACCGAAGCCUACCGGUACGUUGGUAUGCUCGGUACCACAUACCUUAGAUCUAUAGACGAUGUGCAUGGUGACAUUAAUUUUUUUCAGAAUAUAUAUAAUUUAUAUUUUAAUUAAAAAUAAAAAGUUUAAAAAUUAAUUUUUUAAUAAAAAAUAAAAAUAAAAAUAUUUAAAAAAAUAGUAGUACGUUGUACAUAAUUUAGAAGUCAUUUUGGAGGCAGAAUUUUUUGGUAAAUUUAAAAUAAUUAAAAAAUUAAAAAUUAAUUUAAAAUUUAAAAAUAAAUUAAUGUCUUCGUAGGAAUGGAGCCAUCAAGGAGAAGGCAACCCCCAGAGCGUGAUAUUGGUUAGGAGCAUGGAAAGAUACUCGAUGAACGAUAUCAGUUUCAGUGCAGUCAUUGCCGCAAGUGCUUCAAAGAAGGAGUAACCAGAUUAAAGCAGCACUUAGCCGGUAAUUUCCGUGAGGUAUUUGCAUGCCCCAAUUGCCCACCAGAGAUAGAACCUCGCUUAGAUCAAAGCAACCAAGGAGAGGACUGCCAAGAAGAAGGCGGAGGAGGAAUGCCAAGCCGCAGAGCCACCUUCCUAUCACUUUAUGAAGUCAAAAAAGGUUGAGGGCCCAAAUGAGGCACAGAUCCAGGCUGCCAUGCGGGCGAGCCUUAAUGAUCAAUGGCAACAAGAGGAGGUGGAGAGGCAUCAGGCUCGAUUUGGGCCCUCGUUUUAUGAGUCGAGUGUCGAUUCUGGUGGAAGCAGAUACGAUCCAGAGUUUCAAAGGACAACCUCAGUCAACAGAGAACGUGGCCGAAUUGCAUCUAUCCUUAGUGGUUUUGAUAGUCGAAAAAAGUCUUUCAGAGAAAUUCCACUAAGAGCGUCAAUCCAUGAUGUAGACCCGCAUGCCUUUUCCAAUAGAGAUUCGAAGAAGUAAAGGAUAGGCAAUAUGGAAGAAGGAGAAGAAGAAGGAUAUGUGGCGAGCUAUUGGAUCCUGGUUCCACUUUAGCCACAUGCCAGCGAAUGUGGCAGACAAUACGUAUUACAAAUCUGUCAUUUUCGCCAUACAGGUUGCCAAUCCCGAUGUUGAUCCUCCAAGCCCAAAGGACAUUUAUGGUGAGCUACUUGACAACAAUAAGGAAGAGCUAGAGAAAUGGAUUGCCUCCUACAAGAGCAAGUGGCCCUCAUAUGGGCUCACUUUGAUGUGUGAUGGUUGGGCCAGUCAGUACGGUGGACCUUGGCUUUUUGCCUAUGACUUCUAUGCAAGAAAAUAUUGUGUAUAACAAUGAUGUCAAAAAACUCUCUCCACACGCUAAUUCUUUUAUGAUUUAAAUCUGUAAGAAUAUUUGUCUAAUUCUUGCUUGUAUGAUCAAUCACCUUAAACUAUGCUAUAGGCAUGUUAAACAAUAACAAAAGUAUCAAAUUUGUUAGGUUUCUAGAUUUUAGUAGCAGAAAACUUCUAUCCACGAUGCACAACCAAUUUAGAAAUUCUCAUGAAAUUGACUCCUACACCUGCUUUGUAAGUACUUCCAUUUAUAAAUUUGUUUUAAGCAAGGUCUGCUGAACCGGUCGGAACCGACCGGUUCAGUCUGUACCGUACCGAUACCGGCCUGUACCGUACCGAUACCGGCCGACACCAGUAUGAUACAACCAUGGAAUUCGAUUUCUUACCUGUACCGGUGUGAACCACACCAGUACUCGUGGGGAAGAAGAGGAAAGAAGAGAAAGAAAAAAGAAGAAAGAAGAGGAAGAAGAAGAGGAAGAAGAGAAAGAAGAAGAGAAAGAGGAGAAGACUACCUGUCAAAGGGGGAAAGAAGACCUCUCUUGCAGGAAAGAAGACUAUCGGGUCCGCACGCAUGUCCGCACGCACGUCCAUGCAUGUGUCCACGCGUUUUUUUUUUCAAACUGGUUCAAUACCGGUCUCCAUCAGUACAUCGGUUCGGUCGGUACCGCGAACCUACUUUUAAGAGAUAUGCUUCCUAGAACGUGCACCGCACUUGUUUCAGGCAACUUCUUGAUUUAUAAAGAUAUGAUUCCCAGAAAUUCCCACUAAGCUUUUUUUUUUGUUCAAGAUAUGCCUACAUAGUAAUAUUACAGCAAAAAAGUUAAAAUUCGUCGAUGUUGGCAUAUAAUAUGUCAUAUGUGGCAGUCCAGUCCUUGUAUAGAUUAUGAUCUUUAUCUAGAUCAAGGACAAAAAUCACAUAUUAUGAUAUUUUACCAAUGCAAAUUGUGCAUAAAUAUGGGUUAUAUAAUCUAUUAAGUCAGACGCCUCAGAACUUUUAUGAACCAUAUUAACACUCUUAUAGGCUACAUGUAGAACUACUUCAACAACACAUCUUAUUAGUUGCUCCAUAUGCACUUCUCACUAACAUCCAUAAAAGAAAGCAUUUUUCUCAAAAUCAAAUAGCAAAUAUGUUCAAGCCACAUUAAAAACAUGUGGUAAAAGAUCCCAUACCGAAUUGACUUUGGUUGCUAGUAGGGAUGACUGAAGAUAUUAUAUUUCCAUAAGUAUGGGCAUAUCCCACCUUAGCUUGAAGCCUCUCGAUGUUACUUCAGCAUGUUAGUUUAUAGUACAAAAUAAAGUUCGCAAUCUCGGUAUACUGGUUCCCAUAUCAGUGCCUUACUGGUUUGGUACGGUCGGUACGAUACGGUAUGCAUUAUAUACCGAAAUAGCUUUCUAACCACUUUUCUCAAUUUUUAUCCCAGUACGCCUCAAUACAGGUCGAUACGCACCUCGGUACACCUCGGUCUAGAUCAGUAUUGAGGAUGAUAGUGUUAUUUUGAUGAUUAACACAACCAUUGAGGAAAUAUCUAAUUAAAUACUACAAGUUAAUAUGAUACAUCAUUACUGAAUUCGACACUCUCGAUACAUUAGAAGAAUGAGAUCAAGAUGUCUUUCAAUGAUUAAUAAUGAGAUAAAAUUUGCGAUAGAAAAGGGAUAGUGAAUUCUAAAUUCUAAUUCAGCAAAGUUUCAAGUAAAACGUAUUCUUAAGGGCACAAUAGUAAUUUUCAUUGUUAAGAGUAUGUAGCACUACCAUGGCAUACAUUCAAAAUUGCUUGAAGUAUAUUUCAUUGAUUGUAUGGAUGAGUCUAACCUUAAGAUGCAGCAAAGUAUGGAAUGAGUCGACCCCAACAAAGAUGGAGUCGACCCUAGCACAUCAUGGAACCAUCAGGUACACCUCUGCGAAAAUGGCACGGAUGAAUAGUAGUGGAGUCGACCCCAAGUAUGGUUGAGUCGACCCCAGCUUCAAGCCUCAAGAAAACAAGUCUCUGGAAUUUACUAAGAGGGUCGACCCCCACCUUCCUUGAGCCGACCCCAGGAAUACUUGAGUCGACCCCAAUGGAGUUGACCCCAAUUGAACAUGAGUCAACCCCAAGGCUAUGUCGUUCAAAACUGUCUCUGGAAUUCCUGAGAGGGUCAACCCCAAUGGAACUUGAGUCGACCCCACUGUAGCUUGAGUCGACCCCAAAAAGAGUUGAAUCGACCCCAGUGAAAAACAGCUGAAAUACUAAGGUUCUGUGAUCCCUGAGAGGGUCGACCUCACUGUAGCAGGAGUCAACCCCAGUGAAAGUUGGGUCGACCUCACUGGAAGUUGAGUCAACCCCAAGUUUGAUGAACAGUGGUUUGAGUCGACCCCAGAAAAGUUUGGGUCGACCCCAGCACGGGCAGAAGCAUAACGGCUAGUUCUGCAGAAGUACUUUUUGACCUUCCAACGGCUAGUUCUGCAGAAGUACUUUUUGACCUCCCAACGGCUAGUAACGGAUAGCUUUUCAAAUCUAACCAAUGGGAAGUAACCUAAACAUGUGGGAAAGUAUUUGACACUAUUCAUCAGAGCAAAAUAUCCUUUUGCAAAAUAUCAAAGCUUACCCAAGAAAGACAAAAGCCCUAAUUUUCUUCAUCGAGGUGCUUCAUUCAAGAGUCAAAAGGAAGUGGUUGAGCAGAUCAAAAAGAGGCAUUAAAAGCUCCACUAACCCUUGAAGAGUAAAGCAUUCCUUGACAAAGAAGAGAAGAGCCAUAUCAAAGCGAUAACUAUAUUCUAACUCUUCUUUGUAGCUUAUAUUUGUUAUAUCUGCUCAUAUAGGAGUUUAAACCUUCUUCUUUCUCUUUUUAACAAUCUUGUAAGGUUUGUUGGUGAGCCCGUAAAACCAACGGUGUAGGUUUGUUGGUGAACCUGUAAAACCAACGGUGAAGGUUAGUUGGUGAUCCCGUAAAACCAAUAUAGGUUUUUGGUGAUCCCGGAAAACCAAGUGUAAAGAUUUUUGGAUUGUGAGCCCGGAAAAUAAUCCAACUGUAAUCCGCGGGAUUAUAGUGAAUUUCCAAGGGGUCGCUUGGGAAGUGGACGUAGGUGCAUAGGAGAGCACCGAACCACUAUACUUCUUGUUGUUUGUAUUGUGUUUUGUUCUAAGUUCACUAUUUGUAGUUAAUCUAUAUUAACCAAAUCACUCACUCAUCAAUUAGCAAAGUUAAGGAAUCGAAAAUCAAGAAAAACCAAUUCACCCCCCCCCCUCUUGGCUUGUCACCUUGGGCAACAAGUAUGCUUCGGUAUGGGGCGGUAUACGAUGGUACGGGGCUUGUACAGAUUCAAAAUGGAGUUUCGUAUCGAUUUUCUUCCGGUAUGGUACGGUAUGCACCGCACGGUAUACUCCAUGUCGGGCGGUAUGGGGUGGUACAACAGACCUUACUAUAAAAGUAUGGUUCACAAGCAAGCAUUACUUUCUUCUUGCACUACUUUCCAGCAGAAUUAAGAAUAUGCUUCAAAGAGAGGCUUGUAAGUUGAUACUUAUGAGGUGAUGACUGUAAAAAUUGAUGACCUUUUCUACUGUAAUCAUAUAAGAAACGUAGUUAGAAUUGGAUAGGAAGUACAUACAUUUUACCUCUCCUCUUAGCAACAACAGUGCUAAAAUUUCAGGAUUCCCUGGUUUUGAUGUUCACCAUGGAAUUUGGCAAGGAAUACAUUUUCUCACAGAUUAUUUUUGGAUAGAAAGGCUGACAAGUCUUAUGGUGAGAAGGGCCUUGUUGUGUUGAUGUGCUAUUUCUAGGAGACAUAGGCAAAGAAACAGGAAUGGUAUUUAUUUACUCCUCUUUGAAGGUUCAGUUUGGUUUUUACCAUGCUAAUUCAUCCUGAUUUCUAUAAGAAGGAAUCAACAUGGUGGAACUUUGGGAGCAUUAAUGGAGAUUGAAAACACUUAACAAACUUUGGGAGUUAUGUACUGAUAUGAGCUCUAUAGAUUAUGCAAGACAACUUUUAGAAAUGAGGCCUUGUUAUGAUGCCAGAUCUGUUCCUUCAUAGAUCCAAAGUACCUCUACCUCCUUUGCUGAUUUCAAGGUCAGACAUUAUUGAAGAGAAGGAGAUUUGAGCUUGCCUCUCAAAUGUUAUUUACAUGACUGUAUUUUUAACAGAAUAAUAGCCAUAAUAAUAUGCAUUCUACAUAAAACAAAUAGCAGAAAGGUAGGAAAGAGCAACAAGUGAUGAAGCUAAUAAUUCAUAUGAAAGAGGCAAAAUGGAAGAAUGGAAAUGAACAUCUACUAGUAGCAGCGCAGAAGUCACGGUUCUAUGAAUUACUUACAUGCUCUAAUGACAAAAGGCAAAAACAUAAAGCUUAGCAGUCAAUAGUGCGAAAGAAAUAAAAAAUAAACUGACAUAACUAAAAGUACUCGUGCCAAAUGACCUAUGCAGAAAUUACCUAUCCCAAUUUGGGAAUCUUCCUACUAGAUAAAGUCCUGCACAAUCCCAAGGUUCUGCAAUUAUUUUACAUCUUGAUAAUACAGCAUCCUUGGCAAUUGCCUGUCAGUCAAGUCACAUAAAUCAGAUAAAAGGGUUUCCACUACUGUUUCUUAUCAGCUAGCAAGCUAUGAGAAAUUGCACAAUUGAUUUAUUCAAGACCCUAAAUUUAAAGAAGCGGAAACAACCAAGAUUCGUAGUCUCGGUAUCGGACCCCGUACCGGUGCUAUACUAGCACUAUGUCGAUACAGUAUGGUAUGGGAUCUUUUCACUCAGUAUCCUACCCAUACCGGAUACCGGUACUGAACAAGUAUGGUAUGGUACACUCUGUACUAUCCGGUUUGGGCCGGUACGGUGAACCAUAGAAACAAUUGCUAAUUUAUUGAUUAUAAGCAAAAUAAGAAAUGAACUUUUAGAAUUUAAGUUAGAUUAUAAUAUUUAAAUCAAACAUCCAGGAAAAGCACAAAACAUCAGCACGCACGCCAUUUCCCGCACCUGAUAAAGAAUUAUUUCUGUCCAAUGCUCAAAAUUAGUAGGAUAUGGCAGGCAAUCCCACUAAAGAAUCUCCAGGUCCAGGCUGCUUUCAAUAUGGCUUCAUAAUAAUUUCGCUCCCCUCAUAACCAUCAUAUUUCCAUAGUUUAUACUGCCUCUUUAUACUCAUGAAAUAGUUUUGUCAAAAUUGUAUCAUCAACUAUAUACUACCUUUCUCAAGUCCCUGUAUACCUGUAUACCAUAACAACCGGAGGAGUAGGAAUUUAAAAAUUACUAACAUAUACAUGUUUUACCAUAUAACUUUAAUCUUUUGAUCUUUUAAAGCAAGUUAAAUUUAGCUAGUUGUUGUUUCUUUCCCUUAGUUUUCUUUAUUUUUCUUCAUGUAUGAUUUCUAACAUCCUUUCCUCUAAGAUUAUAAAUGCCAAUUACUUAGGAUAGUGACACUUCUACAAGCAUCCAAUAGACCAGUACAUACAGCCAUUCUUUUUACACUAUGAGCUUUCCUUUUCACAUUCACACUCAUGCAACAUCUCCACUUCUGGAAGGAUCUAUUUAGGAACAUGUCACAUACAGACACAUGUACAUAGAGAUAUACAUACAUAUUCAUACACAUAUAUACAUGCAUGUGUAUGUAUGUGUGUAUGUAGACUUGGAGGUGGACCACAAACCAUGGUCCUUAAUCAUAUAUUAAGAGAGCUAAGAGAGAAUUUAUAGAUGUUAAUUAUGGUUGACAAUGAGGCCUUGGAUACAACAUAUGGGGAAGAAUGACUAGAAAAGACAGGAAAACAUAUAAGUGCAGGCACAGAGAUGUUAAAACACACCAUAAUGUUCAUAAUUUUCAUAGUCUACUAAUAAAGUAAUAGAAUUAAUGUACUUUUAAUCAAAUGGGAUGCUAGAACAGGGAGAAAUUAUAAUAACCAGUCAUCAAUUUUAGAAAGUCAUUUGUCAAUAUCCUUGCAAAGUUACAAUGAAGAUAAUUGAUAAAUAUGGGAGCAACCUAGUGAAUAAGAAUAAAGAAGAUUCUCUCUUCCAGAAGAAGAGUAACAUCUGUCUUGUAGAACCAUCAAAACACAGCACUAAGGAGAAAUCAGAAACAACAAAAAGUUACCUUAACAAGUGGAGGUGCAUUUAGAGGAGUCCCAUCAGUUCCUCGGCAAAGAACACUUGCAAGGUCAAAGCGGAAUCCAUCCACAUGGUAUUCUUUAACCCUUAGCAUGGCACAAGAUAUAGACACAAUCAAUAUAGAUAAAAAGAAAAAAAAAUGCAUUUAGUAUAUACUUCAUCGUACAGUUCAUUAUGAAAAUAUGACUGCAGAAAUAUAGUUUUUGACUGACUUCUAAUUAACAGCAGCAAGCAUAAUACUGUAAAGCAUGGUGAUAUUUGGGAGUUCCAGAAUAUUUGGUUCAGAGUUCGGAUGCACAAGUAAAUCAAACAUUCAUAACAGCCUGAUUUUUCCGCUAGCGCUUCGCCUCAAUAAGUAAAUAUAUAUGCUCUCAUACAGCCACACCAGCUGACAAAUAUGCCAUAUGAGCAAAGGGCAAAGUUUUGAAAAGACAUAUUUGAAGCAAGGAAAUAAAUCUUGAGGAGUGGUAAUGUAUCAGCAGGCAGCUGGUAUGGUAUGAUCCUCAACAAAGGGGCAGUACACAUUGACACAACUCGGUAGAGCUUAAACAAUCAAGAAAAAAAUUACCCAGCGAUAUGGGGUCAUUACAAGGUCAAUAUGCCUGAAUUCACAUGAUACAAUGUGAUAUAGGCCAGGUUCAGCCAACACUAGUGCAUAGCAUAGCAGCCCCUAGCCCCCUACCAUUGUCUCAUGGCAGCUAUGGUAUGUACUGGCUGCGGCGUCCCGGUGGCCGGCCGGACCGGUACGGUNNNNNNNNNNNNNNNNNNNNNNNNNNNNNNNNNNNNNNNNNNNNNNNNNNNNNNNNNNNNNNNNNNNNNNNNNNNNNNNNNNNNNNNNNNNNNNNNNNNNNNNNNNNNNNNNNNNNNNNNNNNNNNNNNNNNNNNNNNNNNNNNNNNNNNNNNNNNNNNNNNNNNNNNNNNNNNNNNNNNNNNNNNNNNNNNNNNNNNNNNNNNNNNNNNNNNNNNNNNNNNNNNNNNNNNNNNNNNNNNNNNNNNNNNNNNNNNNNNNNNNNNNNNNNNNNNNNNNNNNNNNNNNNNNNNNNNNNNNNNNNNNNNNNNNNNNNNNNNNNNNNNNNNNNNNNNNNGUACGGGCCGGUACGGCAUUCCUUGGUUUAUACUUUAUACCUUGUAAUACAAUUACUAAGAAUGAAGGUCAGGUACUCACAUAACAUUUUACAAUUCUUAAGAAAUUGGGAUCAUGGAGAGCUGGGAGCAAGAUGAAAGCAUUAUCCCCGAUCUUUUUUUUUUUCUCCUUGUAUACCAUAACUAACUUUACACGCACAAAAAUGAAGUGAAUUUCUAGCAUCGUUAAUGCUACAAAAAGGAAGAAGAAACAGUAUACUGGGCACUCAGGAAAGACUUUAUCAUAUGCACUAGUAUCAAAUAGUGGUAUCUGACAAAAUCUGUCAAAUCCUUAGAUUAGUCCAACUAGGGCCUAUGUUUUGUAUAUGCUUUGCUUCCACAUUUUUUGGUAGAUUUAAAUUGGCAAGAAUGCCAAGUACAUGGAGUGAUGAUUUUUUGAAUUUUAUCAUAAUAAAAUAUAAGAUCAACUACUUCCAUAAAGCUAAGUGGCACGUAAUUGAAGCAUGUGUGGAAAGCACAUUCAAGUGCAGGAGCAACGAUCAAGAGCUCAUGAGAAAUUUAGGAUGCAGAAAUCCGAGUUAAAAAAGAAUCCUUAAUUUAAUGAAUACACUAAAUAAAUUAAUGCAUAGUUUUAUUUCCAAAGAAUGAGGUUACGGAUAGGAUUUAAAUAUUUGUACCUAAAUGGCCUUUUUUAACUUACAGGCCUGAGACUAACUGUGCUUCACUAACUCAUGCUAGUCCAUUUUUCAAUGUUUUCAGCCAAAACUUGAUAACACAACUACAAUCCCUUAGUUCAAAGCACCUUGAAGCAUCUUUCUUCAACUAUAUAUGUAUGUUUUAAAAGCAAGGUCAGUUGUGCUGAACCAUACUGACCAAUACCAACUGUACUAUACCAUAUUGAUAAGGUGCCAAUAUGGUACCGAGCAAGGUUUGCCAUCUCAAUACCGAAUCUCGUACCGGUGCCAUCGUGUUAUAGGGUCGGUACAUCCGGUUCGGCAUACCAAGUAUCGGUGCGCCCUCCAUACCAUGUAUCGAUACAGUCCGUUCGCACUGGUACCGACCAGUAUGGCAAACCUUCGUCCUGAGGUUUGGUUCGGUAUAUGAGUCCAAUAGCUCCAAACAAAGCAAAACUGCCUCGUACUAUCUAAAACCAACCAAAAUAGGGGUGCAUACCAUACCAUACCAACCUAUAUUGCCUGGUUUCAAGCAGUACAAAUGUACAAUGAUAAAAAGUGAGAACAAAAUUCAGAAGCUGUCUAAAGAAUUCCAUUCAUUCAUUCAAACAAAUCAUCUACAGCGCCUUUUCAUUCAACCUUAAUAAACCCUUUUGUAGAAUUUACAUGACUAGUUUUCCAAGUAAACUAGGAUUCUUGAUAGGCAAAUAACAAAUCCCCAAAAUAUUUUCUAAGAAAAUUCGGAAGAGCAUAUAAGCAUACAUGGAAGGAUGCCCAAAACAACCAAAAAAGCAAAUCCUAAUGAUUUUAUAACUGGUCCAACCAACAUAUAACUAAUAUAAGACUCUUUUAUACCAAUCUUACUUAAAAUGGAACUUUAAAACAAAUCCUAAAAUUACCAACAUAAAAGUUCCGAAAAUACAAAAAAAAUGACCACUCAUGGUCUGCCGUACCGGUCCGUACCGGCCGGUACGGACCCGUACGUACCGGUCCGGCCUGGGACCGGUACCGGAUCAGCGUGGAAUCCGGUACCGGUGGUUUAUUGUUGGAGAACCGGUACGUGACCGGUACGUGACCGGUACGGGACCGGUUCGGACCAGUACGGGACCGGUUCGUACCGGUAUGGAACUGAUUCGUACUGGUCCGGGCCGCCACCGGUACGCCUAUCGGUACCGGUGCGGCGGAUCUUGCCUACACUUCUUUUGUUCAUCAUCAUAAUGAAAAGGAUAACAAUAAUCAAAUUUUACAAAUUAGUUAUCAUUUUGACAUAUACUAUAUUUUUAGGACUUUAGACUUAUUGUUCCAAUAGUUUCAUAUUUAAACAAUCGAACAAAUAAUGUUUUGAAGUUUGAACAUGAGAAUUCCAAAAGUCAUGCUCAAAAUGUACCUAUAUUAUCGUCAAUAUAAAAUAUGAUAUUAUAAAUGUAAAUAAAAUUUAAGCUUUAGGCAAAACAAAAUCUUUGUCAGAAAAAAUAACUUUUCCUAUGAAUCUCAACAAAGUUUUAUGUCACAGUGCUUCCAAAUGUGUUAAAACUCACAAUUUCACAAACUUCAGCAACUGUUAAAGAAUGAAGAAACUCAUAAAUGAAAAUAAACAACAUGCAUUCACUAAAUUCUCGAUCAGAUUGCACGCUGAAUCUGAAACUUUUGUUUUCAAUUAGAGUUCUAGAAAAAACUGACAACUAUGGUCAAAUCUAAUAUCUUGAUGACAAAAUAUUCAGUUCAACAACAGACUAAGAUUCUCCAUUGCUAAAAUUCUAAAGUUUGGUGAUCUAUAAUUGGCAUUAGAUCAAGUGGAUGGCUGAAACAAUUUCAUCAAGAUUUAAGCAUUAACAACAUAGAAUCAAUUUGAAGCAAAGCUAACAGGCAAAUAUUACUGAAAGAAGAAAACUGCACCACUGAAAUCAGUAAAGGUUGUAGAGACGAUGUAAGCGCAAAACAAGAUAGAACAGCUGAAUUACAAUUUUUUUUAAUAUUACAUACCAAAAACUGAACAAUAAUGAGAGUAAUUGAUAGAAUGAAGCAAAACAGAGCAUCUUCAAAUGUCUAAGGUUUGCGCAACUUAUACUGAAUUGAACAGAAAAACAAAACAAUUAACAAACAACUUAACUAAUCACCAAAAAAAAAAAAACCCGCUAACAGUAUUUCUGUAAACCAAAUGCCAGUCCUUUGAUAAAACAAAAAGAAAAAUAUAUGCACAAAAUUCAUUUUGCAAAUACAAAUAAAUAAAUAUUAAGAAAGAGUGUGAAAUUUGAUUUACAAUUUGAUCCACCGGGUAAUGUUCCAGUAUCAACAGUUUGCAGUGCACUCAAUUUAACUCAAUGGUAAAUAGAGACUGAAGAUGCUUUUGACCAAACAAAAUGAACAUAUUGCGUUUCCAGCUGAUACAGAAAAGAUGAAAAGUGAAAACACAAUUUAAAUAAACACUAGACAGUACCAAUGUCUCAAACUGUCCAGUAUAAGUUCCAUGACAACAGGAUGGUUGCAGUUAAAUGUGUUUCCUGGAGACCACAAAAUAUAAAAUCACAAUGAUGAACUUAUCAAAUAACAAAAAGUUGUUCGAUACAGGACAGACUACAGAGAAUCCCCAAUACAAAAAUAGAGUAUACAACAGUGCUUGCUGUGAACUCAUUUUAUGUAUGGAAAAUUAAAGACCAAGGAUAGUCUAGCAUCACAUACCAUAUUUACCUCAUACAGUUUCAUAAAAGCAAUAUACGAAAAACAAAUUUACUAUUUAACAUAGUAAUAAAUAGUAAAGUGGCACUACAGCAAAUUUAAUCAUCACUCAAGUGAAGAAACUUGAGAGCUAGAAAAGAAAAAUCUCUUAUGUGGAUGGCCGGGCUUGUUAUUUCCACACAAUCAUGGCCAUUUUAACUCUAUUUCUACACAAUUAUAUCAACUGAAUUGUUAGCAUGUCCUAUUGCAUUAAUGUCCAAAAAUGGAUGCAAGGGGACCUAACCUAGAAAGUAGAAACCUGUCUAAAUUUCACCAUCCAGUGAUUUCAGCUGAGAAAAUGAUGCAAAAUAACAACAUAGAUAUAUACUAUUGCAAGAGCCAAAGUAGAGUUUUAAGGUCUUCUAAUGGUCUGUCCAGCCAGCAGUAUUUUUGUCAAAUUGGUGCCAUGCUUGAAGUAAUUAAGUCCCUGUAACAAAGAUGAGUUGCUAGUGCCAUUUUCAUUCUCUUUAGAUAAUUGUCAUUAGUUUUAAGAUAGUAUAUCAGUUUUAGAGUGCAAAACUAUUAAUAACAAUGAGUAUAUUAUAUGAAAAAUAACAACAAGAGCAUAUUAGAUGAAAACAUGUAUGGAAAACUAGAAAAUAGCAAAUUUAUAUAGGUAUGGAUGAGUGAAUGACAGAAGCAAGGUACGCGGUACCGACUGUACCGAUGUACCAGUGGGCAUCGGUACCGGUACGGUACUGAACCAAACCGAACCGAACCGGUACUGUACCAAUGGGGCUAAAAGCCAAAAAAAUUUUAGAGCCGAUACGGACUGGUCGGUUCGAUUCGGUACGGGCCGAUCGGUACGGUUCGGUACCGAAAUAUGUAGUUGUACCGUACCGGUAGGGUCCGGUACCGACCCGUACCGACCGGUAUGGCAGACUAUGGACGGAAGAUUGGGAUUAAAUUGGUGAUGAUAACCCGAUCACCAAGUUUCAACUGUCAUAUUAUGAAAUUUGAGAAUCAACUGCUAUUCUGAAAUUUGCGAAUCAAGUGUUUUAAAAUAAAAGCAAUGAUCCAGCUGUAGGUGUUUUUCAUUAAUACCUCCACUCUUAUAACACACUUUCAGAUAUGGUGCUGCAGCAUACGCAAGUGAUUCCAUGUGCUGAGCAUUUCUACACAAUCGGCUCAUCUAGAAAAAGGAACUGUUAUUUUUUCUGAAUUAUGAUCCCUCCAGCAACCAAGUACUUACAAAUAAAGCCAUCACACUUUUCCUUCAGUCAAUGAAUGCAUAUGUUGCCAGCUAGUACUUCAAGUAGAUCAUACCAUUAAGUGAAACAUACACAGACAAAUCAGUUGAUAUAUAGCAUAUGUGCAUGUAAAAUUAAAUUUUCCUACAAGAGGCAAAACAUCUUGCCUACUAGUUAAAGCUAUGAUCGAUAUAUUUGAUUUAAAAGGAUUAAGCUUGAAUGGUCUACGGAGCAAUCUAGAAGGGUUGUAAUAAGACAUUCUGGAAAAGCCUGUUGUGUGCCUUCGCCCAGAAGGGUCUUUCCACUUUGAAGCCAUAUCAAGCAUAAAUUUUAAGAUUGUUAUGCUAUUUAAUAAAAAAAUUUCCCCCUCUCUUCGUAUCACUAUUAUCAUUGUUAGCUAGACUAUACAGAGAGCAAGCUGAUAUCAUCUAAUAAAAUUAUAUACAUUUAUAACAUUACAAACAGCAGGUUUUGAAGUAAUUCUGGAAAAGUUAUAUCUUAAAAAAAUGAAAUAAGUAUUCUUGGAAAAAGAGUAAUUAAAAACUGAUGGACAAUUUACCACAGCCUGAGAAAUUGAGUAGUUCAGCAUUGUUUUGGAGAUCCAUCAUGUAAUAAACCUAAAAGCACAAAGAAAAGAAAACCUAAUUCAACAAAAUAACAUAGAUAACAUAUGUACUGGCAUAUACUUAUGUAUUGCAUAUAGAUGUUCCACAAACAUUUGCGUUCCUGCAUACAUGUUAUACAUGCACCUCAAAGUCAUAUUGUAUGUACCAACCUACUAAAUUUAUGUGUAUGGUUCAUGUUUACUAUUGAGGUACUUAAUAAGAAAAGUGGAGAACACAGCCAGUUAUAUAGUCUGUUCAUCCCAAGGAAUGCGCAACCAUCCGGUUCGGGACGGUUCCACCCGUUCCGAACCAUACCGGUGGCCUACCGGUAUGGUUCGGGCUUUGAAACCGGUUCGGGACCGGAGCCGGAGAUGACAGAGAAAGAGAGAGCGAGCGGGGGAGGGAGGGAGGAAGGAGCGCCGCAGGGAGGCGGUGGAGGCUGCGGAAAAAAAUUUGAAAAUUUUUAAGUGAGUCGGCGAAUCAUUUGCUGACUUCACUUAAGAAUUUUGAAAUUAAAAAAAUUGAAAAUUUUUCAGUGAAGUCGACAAAUGAUUUGCCGACUUCACUUAGAAAUUUUCAAAUUUUUUCCGUGGCCUCCAUCGCGCCCCUACGGCCUCCGCCGGCUCCCCACAAUGCUCCUUCUCCCUCCCUCCCCCGCUCACUCUCUCUUUCUGUGAGACCCUGAAACUGGGCCCGGUCCAUUGACCGGCCCAGCCCCAAAGAUUUCGGCCUCACGUGCGUCGCACGUGAGGGCGCAUGAGGAGGGGGGAGCCAUCCCGAAGAAGCCAGNNNNNNNNNNNNNNNNNNNNNNNNNNNNNNNNNNNNNNNNNNNNNNNNNNNNNNNNNNNNNNNNNNNNNNNNNNNNNNNNNNNNNNNNNNNNNNNNNNNNNNNNNNNNNNNNNNNNNNNNNNNNNNNNNNNNNNNNNNNNNNNNNNNNNNNNNNNNNNNNNNNNNNNNNNNNNNNNNNNNNNNNNNNNNNNNNNNNNNNNNNNNNNNNNNNNNNNNNNNNNNNNNNNNNNNNNNNNNNNNNNNNNNNNNNNNNNNNNNNNNNNNNNNNNNNNNNNNNNNNNNNNNNNNNNNNNNNNNNNNNNNNNNNNNNNNNNNNNNNNNNNNNNNNNNNNNNNNNNNNNNNNNNNNNNNNNNNNNNNNNNNNNNNNNNNNNNNNNNNNNNNNNNNNNNNNNNNNNNNNNNNNNNNNNNNNNNNNNNNNNNAAUGUCUCAAACUGUCCAGUAUAAGUUCCAUGACAACAGGAUGGUUGCAGUUAAAUGUGUUUCCACAGCCUGAGAAAUUGAGUAGUUCAGCAUUGUUUUGGAGAUCCAUCAUGUAAUAACUCGCCGACCUCCCUUCGUGGGAGAAGAAAGAAGAAGAAAGAAAGAGGGGGGAGGAGAAGAAGUCGGGAGAAGAGAAGGAAGAAGAAAGAAAAGGGGGGAAAGAAAAGAAGUCAGGAGAAGGUUCUGGAGAAAAGAGAAGAAAAGAAAAGAAAAAGAAAAGGAAAGGAAAGAAAAGAAAAGAGAAGAAAAAGAAAAGAAAAAGAAAAGAAAAGAAAAAGAAAAGAAAAGAAAAGAAAGAAAAAGAAAUAAAGAAAGAAAGAAAUAAUAAAUAAUAAUAAUAAUAAUAAAAUAAAGAGAGGAGGAUGGUUUACAAGUAUGAACCCGAAUCGGAACCCCAACUCAGGGUGCUAGACACUUCUGUAUGGUCGGCCCUGGAAGGAUGUUAAGAUUUAAGUUUUAUAUAUAUAUUAUGAUGAAUUUUAAAAGAAAAAUAUGAUUUUUGAAUAUUAGGUUCUGCGAGAAAUUUGUGAGAUUAAUUGGAUUUGUUGUGGAUCGCAUCAAUGUAAGUAAUGAACUGCCUUUUCUAGACUCUUCAUUUAUAUAAUAUUAUUUUUGCAUCGAAUAAAUUGUUAAUGAAUUUAUAUGUGAUUUAUGAAUUUUACGAGAUGAUGAUUUGAAUGAAAAAAUAGAUAUUUGAAUUGAAAUAAUAUUUUUUGGACUAUUGCUAUAUUUACUGUUCUUGCAUCGUAUAUGCAUAUUUAGAUCGUACUAUGAUAUAUCUAUUAUGUUAUAAAAAGAAUUUUGAUGUGCAUCAGAUUUGGAACUCUUAGCCUGACUAUGUUCUGGAUCCUGCCAAUUGGAGGUUAUGCAUUGGCAAUUCUGGCUCUACCACAGGGUAUAAGUAUGGUAUUCUGGCCCUACCACAGGGUAUAAGUGUAGUAUUCUGGCCUACUCCACAGGGUAUAAGUGCGGUAUUCUGGCCCACUCCACGAGGUAUAAGUACGGUUUCGUUUCUGGCCUAGCCAUAGGGUAUAAGUGUGGUCGUAGUUAAAGGCUAUUGAGUUGAAUGUGAUUUAUUUCGAAUCGGAUUUAUGAUUAUGUAUAUGGAUAUUUGAAAGAUACUGAUUUCAGUGGAUUUGUGUUUGAAAAAGAAUUGAUUAUGUCAUUAUGCUGAUUCAUCAUAAUUUGUAUUCAUAUUUUAUAUUAUUAUAUGAAUUGACUAUUUAAGGUAAUUAUUACUUACUGGGAUGCCUAGCUCAUUAUACGAUUUCUUACUAUUUUUACAGAUCCGAAGAAUUAGCUCGAUCUGGGUUUUACAUAAUGGGAGAAUGACUAGAAGAAUUGAGGCACAAGUUAUUUUAGAAUAGAAUUUAUUUAAAUUGAUGUUUUAUCUUAGACUAUUGUUAGACAUUGUAAGGUUUUGUUAUUUAAAGAACCAAGUUUUACAUGCUAGUAGUUUAUUGUUCCGUUGCGUAAACUAUUGCUAGGCUUGUGAGACAUUGUAAGUUGUGUUAGUUACAGAAAUAAAGUUUGCAUAGUUAAAAUAUUUCCGCUACCUGAUUUGAUAUUGUGAUGAGAUGCCUUGCAUGCUCGUGGGGAGAGUUCCCUACAGGUGUGCGGCGGUUGGCACAGACCCCCGGCUCGCGAUCUGGGACCGGGGGCGUGACACUUUCCCUUCGUCUUCUCCGGCUCUGGCUGGUGUUGUCUUGGUACGGGCCCGGUUUCGACCCGUUCCGAACCGGACCGGGCACCAACCGGUACGGCACCCAGUACCGAUUCAGAAAUCCUUGGUUCAUUCCAAGCCUUCUCACAUCUCUGCUCUCUUCUUUCCUCCUUGUCUUCUCUACGUUUUUUUUUUUUGCCACUUAAUACAUAAUAUGUACACAUAAUGACAUAUAUUAAUACUUAAUAUUACAUCUUCCUUUUCAAGUGUUGGACUGUUGCUUCACUCACAUAUCUACAGUUUCGUGAUUUUUUUACAUACUAGGUGCAUCAGGGAUCUUUGUUUUGUGUUUGAAUCUUCUUUAGCAUUUUCAAAAUUUUAUCUGCAUCUAGAUGCACUUGGAAUCUUUACUUUAGUAAUUCUGUCUUAUUGUAGUUCAUGUGAGAGUUCCUCAACUCACAAUUCAUCAUUUUCACCAACCUCCUACCUAAUUAUAACUGACCAUAUUUAUGUUCAUCGAAACCUCUGCUGCAAUUGUAAAACCCAUGGACUAGCUUUCACAUAAUGCUAAAUAAAUAUAUGCAAGAAAAUCAAUUUAGUGAAAAUCUGAAAAUCUAUUAAGAGAGAACAAAGUUAGGAUGGUGCACUGAUUUUUUCAGUGAACAAGGAAUGAUGAGUGGAUUACAUGUAAAUAAUUUCCAUUGUUAUUGAGAACAAGACCUUUGAAAUGCUAUAAAUAUAUGAAACCAUCACCUUGUUAUCAAUACCACGAAAAGAGGUAGUAUAAGGAUGAUCAUCAUCAGCUUCAUUAGUGUGGUUGUAAACUACAUCAAGAAUGACCUGAAGUUGCAGCAAUGGUUUUUAAUUUAAUUUCGAACAAAAUUAAACAGGAAAAAACCAAUCAUGGAUAAUACAUGUCAAAUUUGAAUAGGUAAUAACAUCUAUCAGACCUCAAUUCCAGCAUUAUGCAAAGAUUUCACCAUUUGUUUGAAUUCUUGGGCUGCAGCAGCAGGACCACCACCAGAACUAGCAUACCGACUCAUGGGGGCAAAAAAGUUCAUAGUAGAAUAGCCCCAUGUGUUGAUCUUGUAAUGGAAUAGAUAUUUAAAUCAGUAAACACAGAAAUACCCUCACAAAGAAAGCAAAAAAAUCUGGUAAAAGGAGGGGGGUUGGGAGAUGCUAAUUGUCAUUGCAUACAAAAAAAAGGACUGAAAAUUAAAUCAUACCAUAUGAUCUCUAGGAUUUGGAUAUCUCUGAAAUUCCAACUCAUCGAACUCAAAAACCGGCAAUAACUCCACAGCAUUGAUGCCAAGUUCCAAUAAAUGUGGGAUCUAUAGAGGAUAAUGUUGUCAGAUGAAAUUUCUCUAGCUUGACACUCAAGGUUCGCUGUAUCGGUACCAAACCCCGUAUCGGUGCCGCACUAGUAUAGGCGUACCGACUGUCGGUACAAUACGGUAUGCGGUACGUCAAGCAUACCGAUACCGGUACCCAUUGGUAUGGAUACGGUACGCCCGGUACCGACCAGUAUAGCAUACCAUGUUGCCACUACUAUAUAUAAUAAGAUAUAAAACUUAUGUUACAGCAACGUCGCAUGCGAAAAACAUAUACUAAAUAGGCCAAAAAACAAUAAAUGCAAUUCGAGCGGCUUCCCUUUAAGAAAUAUUUAUCGCAACAAAUUUUGGUGAAUGGUGAAACAACAAAUGUAACACCUUGAGAUCCUAACUUAUUUAAAUCCUAAGGGUGGGACAUCAAACCUGAUAAAAAUACCAUAAGUACUUGGCCUUCCCAAAAGACAUUUUUUUUAACUAAAUUCUUCUAAAAAUGUAAUAUAAUUGAUAAUUCUCAGCAAAAAUUACAUACGAAAGUCAAACUAAGACAUUGCAGAUGCCACUUCAACACUUCAAUGAUCAUUAAAUCCACUAGAGUUCUAACUAAUCUCUAUGAAAAAUUGUAUAAUAAAUAAAGUGAACUACAAAGCUCAGUAAGUAAAACUUCUACCAUGAUCAAAGAACGUGCUAGAAAGCUCAAGUGGAAAAAUCAUUGAGAACAAUUUGUUAUGAAAUCUCAAAAGCCAAGUUGUCAAUAAGAAAAAAAAUGUCAUAGAAGGGUAUCCUGCAAAUAUCAGGCAAUCCGAAAGCACCUUUAAAAUAGCAAAUCCACCUCUUCCAGUAGAUUAAUAGGGGUUGUCAUUAAUCGCUUUGAAAAUGGUACAAAAGAUAGGGUUAGCUACAAAGCUCGGCAAGUUCAGUUCUUCCAUGGUCAAAAGAAUUCAAGCAUCCAUUAGAAAAACAAAUGACUUAAAGACAAAAUACACAAUCAAAUUACCACUUAGAAAGCUCAAAUAGAAAUUCACUGAAAUCAUUUUGUAAUAAAAUCCCAAAAGCAUAAAUCUUUAACCAAGUUUCCAACAAGAUAUAUGAUGCUAAAAAUGGUUCGGAACGCAAGUAUCGAACAGUUGAAUUAAUUCCCAAUGUGAUAAGUUGAACACUAGUGCAAAAAUCAAAUGGUCAAAGCACAACUUGCAAAAAACCAAGGUCGGCUGUCUCAAACCGAACCAUUUGAGGCAAGCUGACCCAUGUCGGGUAGAAACCAGGUCAAGAUGCAGAUUUACUUCAGAACAGGCCUCAAAUCAGCCUGAACCAACUGGAACCUAGAAAAAGCCCAUGGUUCUGCUUGGUUCAGGGCAGUUCAAGGAGUUCGCUGCCAUUAUAACUCUCCCCUCCAGACCUAAGUCACCCUGGCUCCCAAUCACUCUUUCCCUCUCGUGUUCGGAUAGCAUUAGGGUUUUGAUGCCCCCCUCGGGCCACUGCCACCUCAGAUGAUGACCACAGGUACGUGCUUCACCCUCUCUCUCUCAAUCUCUCUCUUUCCCGAAGAUGAUGACCUCGCGGCUUCACCCUCUCUCUUGAAGACGAUGAUGGCCCAGCAACUUCGCCCUCUCUCUCUCUCUUUCUCCUCUCUCAUUCAGUCUCUCUCUCCCAAAGUCGAGGACCCCAGUGGGUUUGCCCCCUCUCUUUCUCCUCUCUCUCUCCUUCUCCCUCUCCCCCUCUCCCUCUCCCUACCCUUGGUUCCUGUGAGACCCUAAAACUGGGCCCGAUCCAUUGACCGGCCCAGCCCCAAUUUCGGCCUCCCGUGCGUCGCACGUGAGGGUGCGAGAUGAAGGGAGAAAUCAUCUCGAAGAAGCCGGGAUCGUCUGGUUUUUUUAAGGCUUCUCCUCCUCCCUUUGAGACCACUGGAAGAGGAGCCGCCAGACCUCCUUCCUUAGGUGUUCUUCUUCCUCGUGCAGCCAUCCGAGAGAGAGGAGGGAGCCGUUGAAGCCGGUCUCCUUUGAUCCGGGUGGUUCCAUUGCCGCCGGAGAGGAAAGAGCCGCCGGAGANNNNNNNNNNNNNNNNNNNNGGAAGGAAGAAUGUGAGACCCUGGAACUGGGCGCGGUCCAUUUGACCGGCCCAGCCCAAGCUUUUGGCCUCACGUGCGAUGCACGUGAGGGUGCGGGAUGAAGGGAGAUAUUCAUCCCGAAGAAGCCGGGAAUCCUGGUGAUUUCUAGGGCUUCUUCCUCCCUUUGAGACCACCGGAAGAGGAGCCGCCAGACCUCCUUCCUUGGGCGAUCUUCUUCCUUGUGCAGCCGCCCAAGAGGGAAGAGAGAGAGCCGAGAAGCCACGGCACAGGUCUUCCUCUUUCUCCUUUGCCACCGGAAAGAAGCCGUCGGAUCUUCGCCGGGGCUGAGGUAAGGUUCCUAGCUUCACCUCUUUGUUAUACCAAUUGAAAAGAAAGAAAGAAAGAAAGAAAGAAAGAAAGAAGAAAAGAGGGAAGAAGGAGAAGGCCGACCGUUGUGGCGCUUCUUCUUCUCCCAUCCGCAUGCCUCCUCUACGGGAAGAAGGAGAGGGCCGGCCAUCGCGGGCGCCGCCGGCCUCGACUUAGCCUCUUCCGAGCUCGCCGACCUCCCUUCGCAGGNNNNNNNNNNNNNNNNNNNNNNNNNNNNNNNNNNNNNNNNNNNNNNNNNNNNNNNNNNNNNNNNNNNNNNNNNNNNNNNNNNNNNNNNNNNNNNNNNNNNNNNNNNNNNNNNNNNNNNNNNNNNNNNNNNNNNNNNNNNNNNNNNNNNNNNGAUUUAAGUUUUAUAUAUAUAUAUAUAUAUUGUGAUGAAUUUUAAAAAGAAAAUAUGAUUUUUGAUAUUAGGUUCUGCGAGAAAUUUGUGAGAUUAAUUGAAUUUGUUGUGGAUCGCGUUCGAUAUAAGUAAUGAACUGCCU
rnacentral:lncRNA from 1 species